CCUCUCAUGGCGUAGUGGUUAACGCGGCCCAAACUAGAGAUCGGGGAGUCGUGAGUUCGAUUCUCACUGAGAAGA
rfam:Aedes aegypti strain Liverpool supercont1.24 genomic scaffold, whole genome shotgun sequence.